GUCGGGUUCGUCUAAUUGGAUAGGACGCAUGUCUCUCACACAUGUAAUACGGGUUCAAAUCCCGUACCCGGUA
rnacentral:tRNA from 1 species